rnacentral:piRNA from 1 species
UACCUUGAGCAAGAGACACCUGAA